GGCCCAUCUAUAACAGAAACCAGAAAAACAAAAAAACGUUAAUGAAAAGAUAUAACUUUCUUUCUUCAUCCUAGAUGGUGCAAGUCUUUUUAGUGUUCUCUUCUAUUUGUAAUAGGUUCUGAAGUCCAAUGGCAAUUUCCAAUUGAAGUUGAUCGGAAUGUGGGGUGUCCUCAUCGUGAUGGACCUUGCUGGAGUUAGAAUCCGAUAGAGCCAGAUUCAGAAGAGCAUCAGAUUGAUCAGAAGAGGCAACUACACUUAAGGACUGUCCAAACUCCCAGACUGCCUUGGCUUCAACACCUACAUUAGAAUAAGGAUUUGGGGGAUGCUUCAGGCAGGCUGAGGAAGACUUGGAGUUAGGUCAAGAACACCUACAUUAGAGCCAGAGAGGUUGGUGUUAAUUGGGGCGAGGGGGAUGUGUUUGGUAUUAUGGACGGGGCUUUGGAUGGGGAAAAUAGGAGGAGAAGGUUUAGAAGAUUCGGGAGGAGAAUUUUAGUGGGCUCAGUUGGUGAAUAGGAAGUGAAUGUGUGGUUUUGGGAGUGUGAAU